UUAAGUUAUUAAGGGCGCACGGUGGAUGCCUUGGCACUAGAAGCCGAUGAAGGACGUUACUAACGACGAUAUGCUUUGGGGAGCUGUAAGUAAGCUUUGAUCCAGAGAUUUCCGAAUGGGGAAACCCAGCAUGAGUUAUGUCAUGUUAUCGAUAUGUGAAUACAUAGCAUAUCAGAAGGCACACCCGGAGAACUGAAACAUCUUAGUACCCGGAGGAAGAGAAAGAAAAUUCGAUUCCCUUAGUAGCGGCGAGCGAAACGGGAAGAGCCCAAACCAACAAGCUUGCUUGUUGGGGUUGUAGGACACUCUAUACGGAGUUACAAAGGACGACAUUAGACGAAUCAUCUGGAAAGAUGAAUCAAAGAAGGUAAUAAUCCUGUAGUCGAAAAUGUUGUCUCUCUUGAGUGGAUCCUGAGUACGACGGAGCACGUGAAAUUCCGUCGGAAUCUGGGAGGACCAUCUCCUAAGGCUAAAUACUCUCUAGUGACCGAUAGUGAACCAGUACCGUGAGGGAAAGGUGAAAAGCACCCCGGAAGGGGAGUGAAAUAGAACCUGAAACCGUGUGCUUACAAGUAGUCAGAGCCCGUUAAUGGGUGAUGGCGUGCCUUUUGUAGAAUGAACCGGCGAGUUACGAUUUGAUGCAAGGUUAAGCAGUAAAUGUGGAGCCGUAGCGAAAGCGAGUCUGAAUAGGGCGUUUAGUAUUUGGUCGUAGACCCGAAACCAGGUGAUCUACCCUUGGUCAGGUUGAAGUUCAGGUAACACUGAAUGGAGGACCGAACCGACUUACGUUGAAAAGUGAGCGGAUGAACUGAGGGUAGCGGAGAAAUUCCAAUCGAACCUGGAGAUAGCUGGUUCUCUCCGAAAUAGCUUUAGGGCUAGCCUCAAGUGAUGAUUAUUGGAGGUAGAGCACUGUUUGGACGAGGGGCCCCUCUCGGGUUACCGAAUUCAGACAAACUCCGAAUGCCAAUUAAUUUAACUUGGGAGUCAGAACAUGGGUGAUAAGGUCCGUGUUCGAAAGGGAAACAGCCCAGACCACCAGCUAAGGUCCCAAAAUAUAUGUUAAGUGGAAAAGGAUGUGGCGUUGCCCAGACAACUAGGAUGUUGGCUUAGAAGCAGCCAUCAUUUAAAGAGUGCGUAAUAGCUCACUAGUCGAGUGACACUGCGCCGAAAAUGUACCGGGGCUAAACAUAUUACCGAAGCUGUGGAUUGUCCUUUGGACAAUGGUAGGAGAGCGUUCUAAGGGCGUUGAAGCAUGAUCGUAAGGACAUGUGGAGCGCUUAGAAGUGAGAAUGCCGGUGUGAGUAGCGAAAGACGGGUGAGAAUCCCGUCCACCGAUUGACUAAGGUUUCCAGAGGAAGGCUCGUCCGCUCUGGGUUAGUCGGGUCCUAAGCUGAGGCCGACAGGCGUAGGCGAUGGAUAACAGGUUGAUAUUCCUGUACCACCUAUAAUCGUUUUAAUCGAUGGGGGACGCAGUAGGAUAGGCGAAGCGUGCGAUUGGAUUGCACGUCUAAGCAGUAAGGCUGAGUAUUAGGCAAAUCCGGUACUCGUUAAGGCUGAGCUGUGAUGGGGAGAAGACAUUGUGUCUUCGAGUCGUUGAUUUCACACUGCCGAGAAAAGCCUCUAGAUAGAAAAUAGGUGCCCGUACCGCAAACCGACACAGGUAGUCAAGAUGAGAAUUCUAAGGUGAGCGAGCGAACUCUCGUUAAGGAACUCGGCAAAAUGACCCCGUAACUUCGGGAGAAGGGGUGCUCUUUAGGGUUAACGCCCAGAAGAGCCGCAGUGAAUAGGCCCAAGCGACUGUUUAUCAAAAACACAGGUCUCUGCUAAACCGUAAGGUGAUGUAUAGGGGCUGACGCCUGCCCGGUGCUGGAAGGUUAAGAGGAGUGGUUAGCUUCUGCGAAGCUACGAAUCGAAGCCCCAGUAAACGGCGGCCGUAACUAUAACGGUCCUAAGGUAGCGAAAUUCCUUGUCGGGUAAGUUCCGACCCGCACGAAAGGCGUAACGAUUUGGGCACUGUCUCAACGAGAGACUCGGUGAAAUCAUAGUACCUGUGAAGAUGCAGGUUACCCGCGACAGGACGGAAAGACCCCGUGGAGCUUUACUGUAGCCUGAUAUUGAAAUUCGGCACAGCUUGUACAGGAUAGGUAGGAGCCUUUGAAACGUGAGCGCUAGCUUACGUGGAGGCGCUGGUGGGAUACUACCCUAGCUGUGUUGGCUUUCUAACCCGCACCACUUAUCGUGGUGGGAGACAGUGUCAGGCGGGCAGUUUGACUGGGGCGGUCGCCUCCUAAAAGGUAACGGAGGCGCUCAAAGGUUCCCUCAGAAUGGUUGGAAAUCAUUCAUAGAGUGUAAAGGCAUAAGGGAGCUUGACUGCGAGACCUACAAGUCGAGCAGGGUCGAAAGACGGACUUAGUGAUCCGGUGGUUCCGCAUGGAAGGGCCAUCGCUCAACGGAUAAAAGCUACCCCGGGGAUAACAGGCUUAUCUCCCCCAAGAGUUCACAUCGACGGGGAGGUUUGGCACCUCGAUGUCGGCUCAUCGCAUCCUGGGGCUGUAGUCGGUCCCAAGGGUUGGGCUGUUCGCCCAUUAAAGCGGUACGCGAGCUGGGUUCAGAACGUCGUGAGACAGUUCGGUCCCUAUCCGUCGUGGGCGUAGGAAAUUUGAGAGGAGCUGUCCUUAGUACGAGAGGACCGGGAUGGACAUACCUCUGGUGUACCAGUUGUCGUGCCAACGGCAUAGCUGGGUAGCUAUGUGUGGACGGGAUAAGUGCUGAAAGCAUCUAAGCAUGAAGCCCCCCUCAAGAUGAGAUUUCCCAACUUCGGUUAUAAGAUCCCUCAAAGAUGAUGAGGUUAAUAGGUUCGAGGUGGAAGCAUGGUGACAUGUGGAGCUGACGAAUACUAAUCGAUCGAAGACUUAAUCAA
rnacentral:rRNA from 4 species